AACGUAGGAGACAAACGUUAUCCGGAGUUACUGGGCGUAAAGGGCGUGUAGGUGGUUUUGUAAGUCUGGCGUGAAAUUUUUCGGCUUAACCGGGAAAGGUCGUCGGAUACUGCAGGACUAGAGGACGGUAGAGGCGUGUGGAAUUCCGGGUGUAGUGGUGAAAUGCGUAGAGAUCCGGAGGAACACCAGUGGCGAAGGCGACACGCUGGGCCGUACCUGACACUGAUGCGCGACAGCAUGGGGAGCAAACGGG
rnacentral:rRNA from 1 species